GAUGAACGCUGGCGGCGUGCUUAACACAUGCAAGUCGAACGGAAAGGCGCUGCUUUUGUGGGGUGCUCGAGUGGCGAACGGGUGAGUAACACGUGAGUAACCUGCCCUUGACUUUGGGAUAACUUCAGGAAACUGGGGCUAAUACCGGAUAGGAGCUCCUGAUGCAUGGUGGUGGUUGGAAAGUGUCGGCGGUUGGGGAUGGACUCGCGGCUUAUGCGCUGGUUGGUGGGGUAGUGGCUUACCAAGGCUUGGAAGGCUAGCCGGCCUGAGAGGGUGACCGGCCACAUUGGGACUGGGAUACGGCCCAGACUGAUACGGGAGGCAGCGGUGGAGAAUAUUGCACGAUGGGCGGAAGCAGGAUGCAGCAACGCCGCGUGGGGGAUGACGGCCUUCGGGUGGUAAACAGCUUUCGCCUGUGACGAAGCGUGAGUGACGGUAAUGGGUAAAGAAGCACCGGCUAACUACGG
rnacentral:rRNA from 1 species